rnacentral:rRNA from 1 species
UACGUAGGGCGCAAGCGUUGUCCGGAAUUAUUGGGCGUAAAGAGCUCGUAGGCGGCUUGUCACGUCGGGUGUGAAAGCCCGGGGCUUAACCCCGGGUCUGCAUUCGAUACGGGCUAGCUAGAGUGUGGUAGGGGAGAUCGGAAUUCCUGGUGUAGCGGUGAAAUGCGCAGAUAUCAGGAGGAACACCGGUGGCGAAGGCGGUGGUCUGGGCCGGAACUGACGCUGAGGAGCGAAAGCGUGGGUAGCAAACAGG